rnacentral:rRNA from 1 species
AAGCCAGUGGUGAACUCCACAUCCGCAUCCUUUGCUGAGGAUACGGUUAACGGAGCGAAAGCGACGUUCAACCGCAAAACAAGCAGAGGGGGCUUAGUGGUGGGGUGACUGCGUACCUUUUGUAUAAUGGGUCAGCGACUUAUAUUCUGUAGCAAGGUUAACCGAAUAGGGGAGCCGGAGGGAAACCGAGUCUUAAUUGGGCGUUAAGUUGCAGGGUAUAGACCCGAAACCCGGUGAUCUAGCCAUGGGCAGGUUGAAGGUUGGGUAACACUAACUGGAGGACCGAACCGACUAAUGUUGAAAAAUUAGCGGAUGACCUGUGGCUGGGGGUGAAAGGCCAAUCAAACCGGGAGAUAGCUGGUUCUCCCCGAAAGCUAUUUAGGUAGCGCCUCGUGAAUUCAUCUCCGGGGGUAGAGCACUGUUUCGGCUAGGGGGCCAUCCCGGCUUACCAACCCGAUGCAAACUGCGAAUACCGGAGAAUGUUAUCACGGGAGACACACGGCGGGUGCUAACGUCCGUCGUGAAGAGGGAAACAACCCAGACCGCCAGCUAAGGUCCCAAAGUCAUGGUUAAGUGGGAAACGAUGUGGGAAGGCCCAGACAGCCAGGAUGUUGGCUUAGAAGCAGCCAUCAUUUAAAGAAAGCGUAAUAGCUCACUGGUCGAGUCGGCCUGCGCGGAAGAUGUAACGGGGCUAAACCAUGCACCGAAGCUGCGGCAGCGAACGUAUCACCCAAGACAACUUUACGGAGUUGACGAUUGACGGAGCGAAGCGACGUCAAAGCGUUCAUUAAAGUCGAGUUGGCUUAGGGAUACGUUCGUUGGGUAGGGGAGCGUUCUGUAAGCCUGUGAAGGUGUGUCGUGAGGCAUGCUGGAGGUAUCAGAAGUGCGAAUGCUGACAUAAGUAACGAUAAAGCGGGUGAAAAGCCCGCUCGCCGGAAGACCAAGGGUUCCUGUCCAACGUUAAUCGGGGCAGGGUGAGUCGACCCCUAAGGCGAGGCCGAAAGGCGUAGUCGAUGGGAAACGGGUUAAUAUUCCCGUACUUGGUGUUACUGCGAAGGGGGGACGGAGAAGGCUAUGUUGGCCGGGCGACGGUUGUCCCGGUUUAAGCGUGUAGGUGUGUGUUCCAGGUAAAUCCGGUUCACUUUAACACUGAGGCGUGAUGACGAGGCACUACGGUGCUGAAGCAACAAAUGCCCUGCUUCCAGGAAAAGCCUCUAAGCAUCAGGUAACAUCAAAUCGUACCCCA